UGUAAACAGGAAGAAUGUUUGGAAUAGUGCGUGAAACAAAUUUACAAACACAACAUAGAUCAAAGCAACAAAAAUAAUUGUUAUUAUAAUUAUUACAAUUCACGAAUAAGCUCUCCGGGACACGGCCAAAAGAAGACGUCUGACUUGCUAACCGCUAAAGUGAAGACUACUCGAAGCGCAUGUGUGACAAGUUGCACAAGUCUUCAUCGAGUACCGAAGAGUCACCCGACCACCACUUCCUGCACAGCCCACACAUGGGCAAGUAAGGCGAGUUUAUUCAUGGAGCACCAUUCGUACACAAGAUGUACCAAAGCUGCAGCUGCACUGCACACACGAGGUCAUGACCCCAGAAAGACACGAUGGGGGUCCGCCCUGCUGAUGUCACACUCUUGGAAGGUGGAAGAAAUGAAGUCCAAAGCAGAGACGAGGUGCAUCAGAGGGACUGCUGUAGGCUGACGACACAGGUGGUGGCCACUGCCGGACAUUUCUCAGCAACACCAGCAGCUGUGUGCAUCCUGAACGUGUGCCAUUGUGAUGCUUUAACAGCUGAAACGAGACACAACAAGACGAUAAGAAGACAUCAGACCUAAGCGACCACAUUAGCCGACAUAAACAGACCUCAAACAAAACAUCCACGUGUGUCUAUCGCCUACUGUUUACACCAGAGCUGCCCAAGCUUUUUCCAGUGAGGGCCACAUAGUGAAAAAUGAAAGGAUGCAAGGGCCACUUUGAUACAGUCAAACCUGUCUUAGCGGCCACCUGCAUAGAACGGCCACCUGCCUAUAGCGGCCACUGAAAAAAUCCCCCGCAGAAAAUUGACGUGUAUAGCGGUCACCUGUCUAAGGCGUCAAUAUCUGACUGCAUAUAGCGGCCAAAAUGCCGACUCAAGCAGAAGCUUCAAGCACAAAAAAGUUUCGUUUUUUAAGCAAUGAAGCCGUCGUGUGUAGACUGCACAAUCAUUCACAAGAUCCACACAAACUGUCAGUUGUUUGACAUAAAAAAAGCCGUCUUCUUUGGAGCUUGUUGCAGACAGUGACACCGUUUAUUUCCUGGUGUGAGACAAUGUGCACUGGUCAAUACUGUAAUGCCGCUUGUUGCGGGGAAGGAGAAACUCACGUCGCCGAUGCACUUUAAUCGCUUUAUUAACAGCGGUUUAUUAACCUACAGUAGUAGUUCUUUACAACUUUUAUCCGCAGUCCCAGAGUGCCCUCUACUGGUCAACAUUGAAAAUGACCGCCAACCUGUCU